AGUGGGGGAUAACGUAGCGAAAGUUACGCUAAUACCGCAUAUGCCCUGAGGGGGAAAGGAGGGGAUCGCAAGACCUUUCGCUUUCGGAGUGGCCGAUAUCGGAUUAGCUAGUAGGUGAGGUAAAGGCUCACCUAGGCGACGAUCCGUAGCUGGUCUGAGAGGACGACCAGCCACACUGGGACUGAGACACGGCCCAGACUCCUACGGGAGGCAGCAGCGGGGAAUUUUGGACAAUGGGCGCAAGCCUGAUCCAGCCAUGCCGCGUGAGUGAAGAAGGCCUUCGGGUUGUAAAGCUCUUUCGGACAGAAAGAAAUCCUAUCCGCUAAUACCGGGUGGGGAUGACGGUACUGUAAGAAGAAGCACCGGCUAACUACGUGCCAGCAGCCGCGGUAAUACGUAGGGUGCGAGCGUUAAUCGGAAUUACUGGGCGUAAAGCGUGCGCAGGCGGUUUGGUAAGACAGACGUGAAAUCCCCGGGCUUAACCUGGGAACUGCGUUUGUGACUGCCAGACUAGAGUGUAGCAGAGGGGGGUAGAAUUCCA
rnacentral:rRNA from 1 species